GUCUCAUCGAAGCUCAAAACAUGGCGAUGCAAACUCUCCGUCUGGCUCUGGUUUUAUCGUUUUUCUACUUUGCCUUUUGCAAAGAAGACAACAAGAAGCCUUAUUACAUAAAGAAGAGCUCAUUCUGCUAUUCUGAUAAAAAUAGUGAGGUCUGUAGCGGUGAUAAAUACGACUUCUACGCAGCCGUAGAACAAGUCAUUGAUGAUGUGAAUAAGCUAUCGGAAAAGGAGAAAGGCAUUGGAAAGAAGUCCGGCGUUUGCGCGAAUGCUUUGAAAAAAGCGAUGUGUUCAGACGACAAACCACUUUGUUUCGAAGGAGACGAUGAUUCUGGCGCCAAAAGAGUCUGCGGACAGUUGCGCAACGAAUGCCCACUUUUGGCCGACGAUUCCUUCGACAAGUACGAAGACGGAUGCGUGAAAUAUAUGCAGAGAAAGUUCAAGAACUUAACGUGUGUUGGGAUCGGCGUAGACGUAGAAUUCAAA